rnacentral:sRNA from 1 species
CCCGGGCAUGGUGGUGCAUGCCUGUAAUCCCAGCGGCUUGGGAGGCUGAGGCAGGAGCAUUAGGAGUUCAAAGCCAGCCUCAG